CCUACGGGAGGCAGCAGUGGGGAAUUUUGGACAAUGGGCGCAAGCCUGAUCCAGCCAUGCCGCGUGCGGGAAGAAGGCCUUCGGGUUGUAAACCGCUUUUGUCAGGGAAGAAAUCCUUUGGGCUAAUACCUCGGAGGGAUGACGGUACCUGAAGAAUAAGCACCGGCUAACUACGUGCCAGCAGCCGCGGUAAUACGUAGGGUGCGAGCGUUAAUCGGAAUUACUGGGCGUAAAGCGUGCGCAGGCGGUUAUGCAAGACAGAUGUGAAAUCCCCGGGCUUAACCUGGGAACUGCAUUUGUGACUGCAUAGCUCGAGUACGGCAGAGGGGGAUGGAAUUCCGCGUGUAGCAGUGAAAUGCGUAGAUAUGCGGAGGAACACCGAUGGCGAAGGCAAUCCCCUGGGCCUGUACUGACGCUCAUGCACGAAAGCGUGGGGAGCAAACAGGAUUAGAUACCCUGGUAGUCCACGCCCUAAACGAUGUCAACUGGUUGUUGGACGGCUUGCUGUUCAGUAACGAAGCUAACGCGUGAAGUUGACCGCCUGGGGAAGUACGGCCGCAAGGUUGAAACUUAAAUGAAUUGACCGGNGNGAGAGNGCGAGACGACGACGAGGGAGAGG
rnacentral:rRNA from 1 species